rnacentral:rRNA from 1 species
ACUCCUACGGGAGGCAGCAGUGGGGAAUAUUGCACAAUGGGCGCAAGCCUGAUGCAGCAACGCCGUGUGAGUGAAGAAGGUUUUCGGAUCGUAAAACUCUGUCCUAAGGGAAGAAACAAAUGACGGUACCUUAGGAGGAAGCCCCGGCUAACUACGUGCCAGCAGCCGCGGUAAUACGUAGGGGGCAAGCGUUAUCCGGAAUCACUGGGCGUAAAGGGUGCGUAGGCGGCUUAGCAAGCCAGGGGUGAAAGGCAUUGGCUCAACCAAUGUAAGCCUUUGGAACUGUUAAGCUUGAGUGCAGGAGAGGUAAGUGGAAUUCCUAGUGUAGAGGUG